rnacentral:rRNA from 1 species
GCUUGUCUCAAAGAUUAAGCCAUGCAUGUCUUAGUGUAAAUAACUCUUAUGAAACUGCGAAUGGCUCAUUAAAUCAGUUAUCGUUUAUUUGAUGGUCCCUUACUACAUGGAUAACCGUAGUAAUUCUAGAGCUAAUACAUGCACAAAAUCCCGACUUACGAAGGGAUGUAUUUAUUAGAUACAAACCAACAUCGUGGUGAUUCAUAAUAACUUUCAGAUCGAUCGCAAGAUCGAUGCAUCAUUCAAGUUUCUGCCCUAUCAGCUUUGGAUGGUAGGGUAUUGGCCUACCAUGGCUUUAACGGGUAACGGAGAAUUAGGGUUCGAUUCCGGAGAGGGAGCCUGAGAAACGGCUACCACAUCCAAGGAAGGCAGCAGG